rnacentral:lncRNA from 1 species
ACUAGUUUCAGCCCUUUUAGAAUUAGGUUUUUAUUAGGGAGUUUUUAUAAAGAGAUAUAGUAGCAUAAACACAAACAAUAUUUAAUAGUCAACAUUUAUUAUAGAAACUUGUUAAACAAGUUUUAGUAAUACAUUUUUUAUUUAUUGAAUUGAUUUAUAACUAGAUCAUCCCAAAUUUAACCCAUUGCCUUCUUAAUUGCAGCUGCCAAUGCAUCAUAGGCUACUUCCCAAGCAGUGCUCAAUUCUUCGCUCCAUUUAUCUCCUGAUACUUCCUUUAUUGUUUUCAGCAAAGCUUCUUUAACCACCUGCAAGACACCAAAUACAUUAACUUUGGAUUAACGAUUUAACACUUAGAAACUAUGUAUGUUACAAUAUCGACUAAUCAAAUCAUGUUUUAUAUAUUACUAUUGUUUUAUCUUCCAAAUUUAAUUGUACAUAAUUUUCUUUAGUUAUGACUUAUGAUUCCACUAUUAUUUUUUUUUUUAUCAUAAUAUAAAAAUGUGGUAUGAAAUGGAAGUUUCUUAUUUAUUGUUAUUUUAUUGAAUUAUGGAAUAAAUAACCACGCAGUAAAAAAAAACUUAAGAACACAUCCUUUAAAAUAUUUACCACAAAAUGUGGAUCAACCACUCCUUUCUGAAUGUGGAUUGCACCCAAUGUAGCAUCUCCCAAAACUACUCCCCCUGUUGCUCGGAGUUGAACAGCUGAAUCGCGCACCUAUAAUUCAAAAAGUAGAAAUAUCUUAUGAUUGAUAAUGUCCAUGUUAAUAAAAAAUAUAAUCAUUUAUUAUUGCUAUUAUUAUAAUGUGAUUAUAUUUUAUUAAGAAGAAAAUUAUCAAUCCAUUUUCUGAUUAUAACAAUCGAGAUUUGUGGAAGAUCAAAUUUACACUAUUGGUCAUAUGUAGGAUCGUGAACUUAAAAAUGAGAAGGUAAUACAUAAUUUUAUUAUAACAAUCGAGAUUUGUGGAAGAUCUAAUUUGCACUAUUGAAACAUGUGAUUUUUUUAUUUUUUUUUAUAAUUUGGAUAGUUAUGACACUAAAUGGAAUGAAGGUAUUGCAUAUAUAAUGAUAGAUUUGUCCUAACAGAAAAAAUAUAAGUAUAAACUAUUACAAUAAAAAACAAAUAAGAAGUAUAUUCAUAGUUAUUAAUUUAUGUUAAUUACACUCACCAUUCCAAAAACUUUUUCAGCAUGACUUUGGAGUUUAGGACUAUCUUGUACUCCAGCUGUGUCCUUAAGAAAAGAGAACAUGCCCUUUGCUGCAGGGGCUUUCUCCAAUAUACUAUUUCAAUCAAAAUAACCAAAUUAUUCUUUAACUUACACAAUCUCUUUCAAACUGACAAUUAACGGAAAGUGAAAACACAAACACAAAAAAAUAUAUCAAACUUACAUAGUGUAGAACAAAACACUAUUACCAGGGUUUUGUUUAAAUAAUUCCCAUGAGCUAUUCACUAAAGCCUCUUGUUUCUCUGUAAAACCCAUAUCUCUUUUCUUCUUCUUUUUGUUUUUAUUUUUGC